GGCGGCGGAAAAACCACCUUAAUUGGGGCGGAGGGUUAGUUUUAACAGCAAAGGGCCUUUACUAAAAUGGCGAAGGCCUUCCGUCGGCGUUGUUUUAAAAUGGGAAGCCUCGACCCUGUAUUGAAACUGAGCUGUUCGAAGGCGGCGUUGUGUGCAAUUCGGAUUAAUGAAGGGGAAGGGUUUUGUGUGGAAAAACGCCUUGGAGUGUGACAUUUCUGCGAGAAUGCUUAAAUACCGAUUUCCCGCAGGAACAAUGGCGCUGUCUUCAGUGGCACAGUGGAGCAGCUCUGAAGAUGCAAAGAUACACGAAAAAACUUCCAGAACAUCUGGGAGAAUAUUUAAUGGAAAAUCGCUUGGUUAAAACCUGACACUUUUAACAGCGUUCUGAGUGUGGACGAGUAGCCAGUGAAGAUAAUGAAUGUCGAAUGUGACUGACUAGCAGCUUCAUUUUGAAUGAGGGUCGCUGUCUGCCCAUUGAUAGAGGCCAGAUUGUCUUGGAAGUUCCAAAGUUGCAACGAUUUCUGGCUAGUGCCACGAGGUUUACUUGACUGUUGUGUGAAAAGCUGAUAAGAAAACCAUCCAGAAAAAAGCUCUUCGUUUUACAAACAUGAAAAUAAAACAUGUAAUUUUG
rnacentral:lncRNA from 1 species